UACGUAGGGGGCGAGCGUUGUCCGGAUUUAUUGGGCGUAAAGAGCUCGUAGGCGGUUUGGCAAGUCGGGUGUGAAAACUCCGGGCUCAACUCGGAGACGCCACUCGAUACUGCCAUGACUCGAGUCCGGUAGGGGAGUGCGGAAUUCCUGGUGUAGCGGUGAAAUGCGCAGAUAUCAGGAGGAACACCGGUGGCGAAGGCGGAUCUCUGGGCCUUACCUGACGCUGAGGCGCGAAAGCUAGGGGAGCAAACAGG
rnacentral:rRNA from 1 species